GGGGUUGUAGCUCAGUGGUACAGUGCUCACCUAGCACAUGUGAGGCACUGAGUUCAAACCUCAACACCACA
rnacentral:tRNA from 1 species